rnacentral:rRNA from 1 species
UACAGAGGUCUCAAGCGUUGUUCGGAUUCAUUGGGCGUAAAGGGUGCGUAGGUGGCGGGGCAAGUCAGGUGUGAAAUCUCGGGGCUCAACCCCGAAACUGCACUUGAUACUGCUUUGCUCGAGUACUGGAGAGGAGACUGGAAUUUACGGUGUAGCGGUGAAAUGCGUAGAUAUCGUAAGGAAGACCAGUGGCGAAGGCGGGUCUCUGGACAGUUCCUGACGCUGAGGCACGAAGGCCAGGGGAGCAAACGGG